UACGGGGGGGGCAAGCGUUGUUCGGAAUUACUGGGCGUAAAGGGCUCGUAGGUGGCCAACUAAGUCAGACGUGAAAUCCCUCGGCUUAACCGGGGAACUGCGUCUGAUACUGGAUGGCUUGAGUUUGGGAGAGGGACGCGGAAUUCCAGGUGUAGCGGUGAAAUUCGUAGAUAUUCGCAAGAACACCAGUGGCGAAGGCGGCUCACUGGCCCGGUACUGACGCUGAGGUGCGAAAGCGUGGGGAGCAAACAGG
rnacentral:rRNA from 1 species